CUGCUCUUAAUACUUAUAAUUUUUCAUAUAAAUAACUAAUGUGUGUAGUAGAUGUAUGUAAUAAUAGUUUUGUUUUUGAUCAUCUAGCACCCUAUCUUUUACAACGAACAAAAAUGAAAUUCAUCUGGUUAAUAGUGGCGGUGUUCUUCUGGCCUCUCGCGACUGCUGCUAAGAAUUGUGCCUGUUCUGAUCAGUAUAGUCCUGUUUGUGCCACCAACGGCAGAACGUACAACAAUCGAUGCCUCUUGAAUUGCGACGGCGCAAAAUUUGGCCAUGUUGGAAAGUGCUAAGUGUCUCUGUCCAUUAAAAAUUUAACUUUAA